AAAAGUAAAUAAUAAUAAUAAUAAUUUGGAAAGCAUAACCUAUAUUUGAGCAUUCAAGCAAAAGCAACGUCAUUAAGUACUACUUUCAGGGUUCAGUAAUCAGGAUCUCUUGGAAGGUUCAAAUACACCACUUGUAAUUUAGUUUCUAAUGCUAGAAACAGGCUCAGUACCAUUACAGCUUGCAUUAAAUUUAUUCGAUCAAUUUAUAGGUCUUGAUAACUUAACCAUUAUGCUAACUUCCAUCUUCCCAAGGAUCCAAGUCAAGCUUUAUAACCAUGCGUACCAUCGUCACCUACAUUUGUUCGUUUACCUCUAAUUAGCAAGUUUGCUGAACAUAAUUGCUUGAUCAUAUCAAAACAGUUUGAAAGAAGAAUGCAGCUAUAGAAUAACAUAACAACUAAACCUUAAUCUCAAACUAGGUGGGUCAGCUAUAUAUGGAUCCUUUUUUGCUAUUAAGUUCUGUUUGAAACUAAUUCCGCAUUAAUAUAAAAAAUAGUGAAUCUUUUGAUACUACUUCCUUCUACAUUAUUUUAGAUCUAUCGUUCUUUCCAUUAUCACUCCUUCCCGUGCUAGGGCAUUCAAUAUUCUAUGUUGAAUACAACCAAACCAUCUUGACUCUCUCAUUUUAAUUCCAAUGUAUGCUAUAUGCACUUUCUGGCAAAUUUGGUUCGAUAGGAAUGUGGAGUUAAGCCACCAGGCCCAAGUACAUUCAGGGUGCAUUCUAGAUAAGGCAAAGGAGCAGGUGCAAAGAAGGUAGGAGAGCAACUGAAUUCCAAUAUGGAGCUGUAGGAAAGAAUGGGAGGAAUCAUUGGAGAAAAGAAUGGAUCAAUGAACAAGUGGAUUGAAGAAUUUUGUAAAAAGGAAGUUAUUCCUGCAGCAAGUUUAUUCUGUUGUGGCCUUAGACCUACACUUUCUGUUUGGCAAAUACCUUUUCUAUUUGGAGCUAUUGUCGGCUAUUUUGCUCAUCUCUUAUCGUUCCUUGUAUGAACAAAUUGAAUGAAAAAGCCCUUAUUAUGGAAUUCUCUAUUUCAAUCUUACUUUCCGGCUUGAAUUGAUACAAGUUCCCAACUUUUAACAAAUUAGUUCGACUUGCCAGAUCCACUAAAUGACCACAACGAGAAUGGAGGAACAUGUGGAGCAAGUUAAAGGGAACUUAACCAGCCUAGGAGAAGCUCUAGUGUCUCUCAAAGUUGAACAGGAUCAAAGAUUCAGUAAACUUGAAAAUCUGCUUACCUCGAUGGCGAGGGGGAAGGUAGCAGCCAAUGACAACGAAGCUCCCAAUCAGAGCCCUCAAUAGUAGCACAUUGGUGAUUAUUCGACCACUCGGAUGGGUGCUCGAGCUCUGCUUCUAGAGGAAGCUCCGUUCACAGCAAAGAAUGUAGAUAUGCCCAGUUUUGAGGGUACAUAUCCUAUGGGGUGGAUAGCUCAUGCAGAGCAGUAUCUUGAGAUUAACGGAGUGAAGGAUGAAUUCAAAAUCUCCUUGGCAUGAUUGGUGCCCCUCUCCACUGGCUUUGUUGGCUCUUCCAAUGAAUGCCCAAUUUAUCAUGGGAGCACUUAAAACAGAAGCUAUUACAACGUUAUGGAGGCAAUAUCGCUAAGAACCUAUAUGAGUACCAGGCGGCAGUCCAUCAGCUGGGAACGCUGGCAGAGUGUAUAGUUGACUUUGUGUUAAGGGCAGCUUAGGUGAUAGAGCUUUCAGACUCUCACUGUCUAGGUUACUUCCUCAAUAGUUUAUAGGAAGAUAUAAGGGUGAGGCUUAGGUCUAAUGAGACUGUCAAUCUCUAUCGAAUGAUGAAAGCGGCAAUAGAAACAGAAAGAGAGCUCCAGUUUGCAGCAAGGAUCAAAGGGUUUUCAUGUCAGUAAGGAAGAUGACAAUAUGUUAUAGGCCGAGGACUAUUUCUUUUGGGAUGAGCCUAGUUCUUACUAUUGGAACUAAAAUGAGCUAUGGAAAUGCUAGCCCACAAAACACCUACCCACAACAUUUCGAAGGCCUGCCUACCAAGCCUCCAGAUGAAGCCCAACAAGGGUUUAGUAAAACUAAUAUACAACCAGUGUCUUCCUCAGAGUUUCAAGCACCCUCCACCAGAUCACGAGCAAUAAGACAAUACUCCCACCAGGAAUAUCAAAAAUUGUGAGUUGUUUCCGCUGUAAACAACCAUAUUCUCCCCUUCAUGAGUGUCCCAAUAAGUCUCUCUGUGCUCUCAUUGUUGGCAAAGAUGAGACUUUAACUGAAGAGAGCUGGACAUCAUGGAAGAGUAAUAGACAACAACAAUCAACAAUGCUCAUUUCACUGAACUAGAGCUGUAGUUAUUUUCUAGUGGCGGAAUUUCUCAGUUGAGGACAAUGAAGUAGAGGGGAUCUAUUACGAUGAACCCAAUUACAGUGAUGAUAGGCAGCGAAGCGACCCACAAUUUUGUGUCACACAAGCUGGUCCAACACCUAUAGCUUCAAGUAAGUCCCACUGCUAAUUUUGGUGUUUGACUGGGGAAUGGAUAUAAGGCUCAAUCUAAAGGAGUAUGCUGCAAACUGAAGUUGGAUUUACGUAACAUGCAAGUGGAGGCAAAUAGUUGUGUUUCUUUUUGGGGGUGUUGAUUUGAUUCUGGGAGUAGCUUGGUUAGAGACUUUGGGUGAGUUGUUGAUUAAUUGGUAGAAAAUGGCAAUGAGUUCUAUCAAUAAAGGAGAAAGAUUUUACCUCAAAGGGAAACAAUGCAUUGUAAAUCUUGUAAUCAUUGGAAAUCCCUCAAACCAAUGCAUUCAUACCUUCUCAGAUCUUGAUUUCAACUUCCUUAUCCAAAUCUACUUGAGGUGUACAACUGUACCACAACUUAUAACCCAUGCUACCAAUUUCUCUAGUCUUUUCCUCAAACUAUGUCAACAACCCUCCUCCUCUUUAAAGCAUCCGCAAGCUCCAUUAACUUUCCAAUCAGUGAUCCUAUGCUUCAACUACCUAGACAGACCCUACUCUACUGAAUUAGUUUUUCUACCCUCACUCAUCCAUAUCGUCCAUCAAAAUGCGGGAACCUUUGCAUAUUUUGCAUCACAUCUGGGUACUGAUGUGGCAGAACAAGAAUUCAGCUAUCACCUUCAAAAUCAGAAAUUGAAGCAAUAUUCUAUCAUAUAUCCAACUUAACACUUUAACAGAUAGUCAAGCUCAAUUGCAAGUAGAACAAAAUAUCAUCACUGUACAACUCUAAAUUCAUCAACUAUCCAACAGAGAGAACAUUAUUUCAAAGACAAUCCAUAUAACUA
rnacentral:misc_RNA from 1 species